GACGAACGCUGGCGGCGUGCUUAACACAUGCCAGUCGAACGGAAAGGCCCUGCUUUUGUGGGGUGCUCGAGUGGCGAACGGGUGAGUAACACGUGAGUAACCUGCCCUUGACUUUGGGAUAACUUCAGGAAACUGGGGCUAAUACCGGAUAGGAGCUCCUGCUGCAUGGUGGGGGUUGGAAAGUUUCGGCGGUUGGGGAUGGACUCGCGGCUUAUCAGCUUGUUGGUGGGGUAGUGGCUUACCAAGGCUUUGACGGGUAGCCGGCCUGAGAGGGUGACCGGCCACAUUGGGACUGAGAUACGGCCCAGACUCGUACGGGAGGCAGCAGUGGGGAAUAUUGCACAAUGGGCGGAAGCCUGAUGCAGCAACGCCGCGUGCGGGAUGACGGCCUUCGGGUUGUAAACCGCUUUCGCCUGUGACGAAGCGUGAGUGACGGUAAUGGGUGAAGAAGCACCGGCUAACUACGUG
rnacentral:rRNA from 1 species